rnacentral:rRNA from 1 species
GACGAACGCUGGCGGCGUGCUUAACACAUGCAAGUCGAACGAAGAGCGAUGGAAGCUUGCUCCUAUCAAUCUUAGUGGCGAACGGGUGAGUAACGCGUAAUCAACCUGCCCUUCAGAGGGGGACAACAGUUGGAAACGACUGCUAAUACCGCAUACGAUCUAAUCUCGGCAUCGAGGAUAGAUGAAAGGUGGCCUCUACAUGUAAGCUAUCACUGAAGGAGGGGAUUGCGUCUGAUUAGCUAGUUGGAGGGGUAACGGCCCACCAAGGCGAUGAUCAGUAGCCGGUCUGAGAGGAUGAACGGCCACAUUGGGACUGAGACACGGCCCAGACUCCUACGGGAGGCAGCAGGGGGGAAUCUUCCGCAAUGGACGAAAGUCUGACGGAGCAACGCCGCGUGAGCGAUGACGGCCUUCGGGUUGUAAAGCUCUGUUAAUCGGGACGAAAGGCCUUCUUGCGAAUAGUGAGAAGGAUUGACGGUACCGGAAUAGAAAGCCACGGCUAACUACGUG